rnacentral:tRNA from 1 species
UCCUUGCUGGCUCAGUAGGUAGAGCAUGCGGCUCUUGAUCUCGAGGUCAUGAGUUUGAGCCCCAUGUUGGGUA